CCUACGGGGGGCAGCAGUGAGGAAUAUUGGUCAAUGGACGAGAGUCUGAACCAGCCAAGUCGCGUGAAGGAUGACUGCCCUAUGGGUUGUAAACUUCUUUUAUAUGGGAAUAAAAUGUUCCACGUGUGGGAUUUUGUAUGUACCAUAUGAAUAAGGAUCGGCUAACUCCGUGCCAGCAGCCGCGGUAAUACGGAGGAUCCGAGCGUUAUCCGGAUUUAUUGGGUUUAAAGGGAGCGUAGGUGGAGUGUUAAGUCAGUUGUGAAAGUUUGCGGUUCAACCGGAAAAUUGCAGUUGAAACUGGCAGUCUUGAGUACAGUAGAGGUGGGCGGAAUUCGUGGUGUAGCGGUGAAAUGCGUAGAUAUCACGAAGAACUCCGAUUGCGAAGGCAGUUCACUGGACUGCAACUGACACUGAGGCUCGAAAGUGUGGGUAUCAAACAGGAUUAGAUACCCUUGUAGUC
rnacentral:rRNA from 1 species